UACGGAGGGAGCUAGCGUUGUUCGGAAUUACUGGGCGUAAAGGGCUCGUAGGUGGCCAACUAAGUCAGACGUGAAAUCCCUCAGCUUAACUGGGGAACUGCGUCUGAUACUGGAUGGCUUGAGUUUGGGAGAGGGAUGCGGAAUUCCAGGUGUAGCGGUGAAAUGCGUAGAUAUCUGGAGGAACACCGGUGGCGAAGGCGGCAUCCUGGACCAACACUGACACUGAGGAGCGAAAGCCAGGGGAGCAAACGGG
rnacentral:rRNA from 1 species